rnacentral:rRNA from 1 species
UGGGGAAUAUUGGACAAUGGGCGCAAGCCUGAUCCAGCCAUGCCGCGUGAGUGAAGAAGGCCCUAGGGUUGUAAAGCUCUUUCACCCGCGAAGAUGAUGACGGUAGCGGGAGAAGAAGCCCCGGCUAACUCCGUGCCAGCAGCCGCGGUAAUACGGAGGGGGCAAGCGUUGUUCGGAAUUACUGGGCGUAAAGCGCGCGUAGGCGGUUUUUCAAGUCAGGGGUGAAAUCCCGGAGCUCAACUCCGGAACUGCCCUUGAAACUGGAUGACUAGAAUCCUGGAGAGGCGAGUGGAAUUCCGAGUGUAGAGGUGAAAUUCGUAGAUAUUCGGAAGAACACCAGUGGCGAAGGCGACUCGCUGGACAGGUAUUGACGCUGAGGUGCGAAAGCGUGGGGAGCAAACAGGAUUAGAUACCCCCGUAGUCC